rnacentral:rRNA from 1 species
UACGAAGGGUGCAAACGUUGCUCGGAAUUAUUGGGCGUAAAGCGCACGUAGGCGGCUUAGCAAGUCGAAUGUGAAAUCCCUCGGCUCAACCAAGGAAGUGCAUCCGAAACUGCUGAGCUUGAGUACUUAAGAGGAUCGCGGAAUUCCCGGUGUAGAGGUGAAAUUCGUAGAUAUCGGGAGGAACACCAGUGGCGAAGGCGGCGAUCUGGGGAAGAUACUGACGCUGAGGUGCGAAAGCGUGGGGAGCAAACAGGG